rnacentral:ncRNA from 12 species
CCAGUGGCUAGGGUAGCUCCCGAAAAGAAAUUAACACCAAUUUCCUGCCAUUAUUUUUGUUUAGAGGGUU